UUAGGAAUAUUCGUCAAUGGAGGAAACUCUGAACGAGCAAUGCCGCGUGUGUGAUGAAGGCCCUUCGGGUUGUAAAACACUGUUGUUUGGAAAGAAUGAAUAAAAUAGGAAAUGGUUUUAUUUUGACGGUACCAUUCAAGAAAGCUCCGGCUAACUACGUGCCAGCAGCCGCGGUAAUACGUAGGGAGCGAGCGUUAUCCGGAUUUAUUGGGCGUAAAGCGUGCGCAGGCGGCUUGUUAAGUCUAAAAUUAAAGUCCGAAGCUUAACUUCGGUUCGUUUUAGAAACUGACAGGCUUGAGUGUGGUAGAGGCAAACGGAAUUUCUAGUGUAGCGGUAAAAUGCGUAGAUAUUAGAAGGAACACCAGUGGCGAAGGCGGUUUGCUGGGCCAUUACUGACGCUCAUGCACGAAAGCGUGGGGAGCAAAUAGG
rnacentral:rRNA from 1 species